rnacentral:rRNA from 1 species
UACGUAGGGUGCAAGCGUUAAUCGGAAUUACUGGGCGUAAAGCGUGCGCAGGCGGUGAUGUAAGACCGAUGUGAAAUCCCCGGGCUUAACCUGGGAACUGCAUUGGUGACUGCAUUGCUAGAGUAUGGCAGAGGGGGGUGGAAUUCCACGUGUAGCAGUGAAAUGCGUAGAUAUGCGGAGGAACACCGAUGGCGAAGGCAAUCCCCUGGGCCUGCACUGACGCUCAUGCACGAAAGCGUGGGGAGCAAACAGG